UUGUCCAGUCUGUUUGUUUGUUGUUGAACUGUUUUUAUACUUGUGUUAUCAUGUGUGUUUUUUUUUUUUUUUUUAAUGGUAAUAUUCAUGUUCACAUUACCAAGGUCGAAUUAAUCCCUGCAAAGGAUUAACAAGCUUGUAUUCUGAGUUGUCACAGUGCAUGUUUUGUUCUGGCGAGGUCAUCCAUUUCCAUUUUUCUAUAGUUUCCAUCCUUCAUUCUUAGGCCUAUCAAAAUUGAGAAGUUUAUUAGAAAUUAAUUCAUAUGUUUGUUGCAUUUUAUAUCAGUUGGGAAUUUGGAUUCUAUUGACCUGACUGAGUGCCACAUUUUCUUAAAGUACAACCUGUCCUCAGUCAAGGAUGGAAAUAAGACCCAGUGUGAUCUCUUCCAUUUUUUUUCCAUGUUUGUUGAAUUCAGCUCAGACUCAUGCCUAUGCCAUGGUGCCAAAAACAGUUCUAAGAAAUUCAAACUGUGAUUUGAUCAAGUGAGCUACGGAGGAGGACCUGAGGUGAUGCCAACCUGCCCAAGAGAGAGAGACAGAGCAGAGACAUCGCAGAGGCAGUUUUGUAACCAUGCAUCGAUGCUGUAUUUGAACAAUAAUUUGCCUGGUUAAUACUAUUUUCUUACAAAUAAUAAAUACCCCUAUAUUUA